CUUUUUUUAAGACUGGCUUAGGUGCCAAGUACUAUUAGCUCCUGAGAUAUGGUUGAGUGGGGUGCCCUUCAGAAUGCUGCCCUUCACAUCAAACAAUCGAGGUUGACUUUGGAAUUCCUACAUAGCUGAAGAUGACUUUGAACUUGUGGUCCUCAAGAUUACAGGCUUGUGCCACCACAUCUGGGAUCCUGCAUGCUAAGCAAGCACUCUACCAGCUAAGUGACACCUUCGGCUCCUAUGCAGCGGUUUUUGAGAAUUAUACAAUUUUAAUUACAAUACAAUUAUAUCAUUCCUCCCCUCAGUCUUCUAUUCCUUUCAUGCUCCCCACCUCCACUCCUUCCCAAAUUCAUGGUCUCCUGUUCUUACACAUUGUUGCUACAUAUACACAUAAAUGAAUAAUCAUAGAAACAUAACUUGCUGAGUCUAUUCAGUGUUGCCUGCAUGUAUAUGUCUUCUGCUGCUUUUUAAUCGUACUUUGCAAUGUUAAUGCUUCGUUAACACCUCAAAAUCAGAGUUUUACAAAUUUGAUAUGAAUUUUGAAGUAUGUGAAGCAUUUCUUUGAAGAGUCUCUUCUGGAAAUGACUUCUCCUAAUUAAAAUGAUUUCUUCUUUAGGGUUUAGCUGAGAAGGAAUGAGGGCAAUUCUACACAUCAGGAAUAUGUCUGCUGACUUAUGGAGUGUUUGCUCGUGGCUUGAAGGUGAACAGGUUAUUAAUUUGAUAAUUAUUUAAAAGUUAGAAGUGCACAGGGAAGGAUCGAUUGGAAUUACAGUAGGGUCACUGGCAUUUUGAUACAGUCAAGGGAGGAAUCUCAGAGAGUCAAUUGGCUUAUGAGACAAGUAGGAAACGGAAGAAAAAGAGAAUGAAUUCAUUUUUUAUUUUAUCUAUUUUAUCUUAUUAUAUUAUUAUUAUUAUUUAAAACGAAUUUUAAAUUUAAUUAUAUUUUAAUUCUAUUCUUCCCUUCCAACAAGUCCUUCCAGAUUCUCUCCCCUUCUCUACUCACCAACUUUAAGUUCUUUCUAAAAAAAAACAAAACAAAAACCCAAUACAACAACAAACCCCCAACCAAGAAAACAAAAAGAAAAACAAACAACAACAAAAAACCAAAUACCAAACUAUAACCCAAUAAAAGCUCACAACAAAACUGUAGAGAUUAUUAUAUGUUGAUCAGCGACUCCUGAACAUGAGGCCUGCCCUGGAGUGGCUGAAAUACCCAGUGUCACUUCAUUGGAGAAAACUGAUUUUCUCUCUCUCAGCAGGUACAAAUGACAGUUAAGCUGUUAACCUUUACUUUAGUGGCUAAGUUUUCAUUCAUUCAUUCAUUCAUCCAUUCUUCAUUCAUUCUAUCACAUUGAAGUUGGACAGGAUUGUGGUGGUAUUGUGUUCCCCAAAAUAUUGUGCACCCUAAUAAACUUAUCUGGGGUCAGAGACAGGACAGCCACUAGAUACAAAGGCUAGAAAAUGGUGGCACUCACACCUUUAAUCCUACCACGCCAGAGGUAGAAAUCCCUCUGGGUCUCUGUGAGUUCAAGGCCACAUUGGAAAUGGCCAGGCAUGGUGACACACGCCUUUAAUCCCAGAAAGCGAGCCUUUAAUCCCAGGGAGUGGUGGUAGAAAGCAGAAAGGUAUAUAAGGCGUGAGGACCAGAAACUAGAAGCAUUUGGCUGAUUAAGCAUUUGGCUGGUUAAGCGUUUGGCUGGUUAAGCGUUCAAGCUUUCGAGCAGCAAUUCAGCUGAGACCCAUUCUGGAUGAGGACUUAGAGGCCUCCAGUCUGAGGAGACAAGACCAGCUGAGGAUCCGGCAAGGUGAGAUAGCUGUGGCUUGUUCUGUCUCUCUGAUCUUCCAGUGUUCACCCCAAUAACUGGCCUCGGGUUUGAUUUUAUUAAUAAGAACUCUUUAAGAUUCAUGCUACACAGGAUAAACCAAUAGAAGGAAAAGAGCCCAAGAAAAGGUGCAAGAAUCAGAGACCCACUCAUUUGUACACUCUGGAAUCCCAUGAAAACACUAAACUGGCAGUCAAAAUGCAGAAAACCUGGUGCAGGCCCAUGCAGCCCCUUGCUCAGACAUGGUGAACAGGUAGUAGCAUGGGUGCUACAAGGGGAGGUUCCACCGAGAUCUGAGAAAGAAGGGACAUGCUGAAGGACACCCGAAGAAAGGCUGGUCAGCAUUUUAAAAGGAGGUAAGAGUGGGUGAAUUGUUAUGGGUACAGCUGGUUUGCAGUUGCUCCUGGAGGAGCAGUUAAUUGAACUGCUGAAGCAACAGGGAACCACCAUUAAGAGCAGGAUGGCUAAAGUUUUCAUUCAGAUUCUCCAGAAUGUUAGUUCCUGGUUUCUGGUCUCUGGGAGAUUUAAUAUACCAGACUGGGAACAUGUUAAGAUUGAAUUACAAAAAUGCUUGCAUACAGAAGGGCCUGAUUCCAUACCCUUAGCUACUUUCUCUUUGUGGCGCUUGGUUAAAGAUGCAUUGCUUAGUGAUAAUGUCAAAGUUCAAGAACAAUUAACUGAAGCUAAAGCUGUGUUGGAAAAGGCUCAGGUAGAGGAGGCUCUCAGAUCCUUCAAACUUCCGACAUUUCUGACUCUGUAGAGUCAUCUUCAGAGGGUGAUGAUGUAGAAGUCAGAUUAGAAAAGGAUACUAGAUGCUUCAGGAAUUAAAGCUAAUGAAGUAAAAAUACUAAAUCCUGAAAAUGCUUUUUCUUAAAGUAAGCUAAUGAAGGAUAUGUUUCAUGAAAAAAUAUCUAUGUUCUUGACUCCUUUGAAUAGUAACAGUUUUGGUGAAAAUAUUGGAACUAACAACAAUCAAGUCUAAAUGUUUCAACAAAUUCAAGACGCUAUUUACAAAAGAAAGCUGCCAUGCUUUGUAGGCCAUAUUAGAGCUCACUCCAAUCUUCCUGGUCCUGUAGCUGAGGGUAAUGCAAUGGCUGAUAAGUUAACCAAGAUAGUAGCAUUAUCCCAAGUGGAAAUGGCUCAACAGUCACAUGCUCUUCAUCAAAAUAGCAAAAGCUUAAGAAAGCAAUUCAAUCUUACUAAAGAAGCAGCUGGUCAAAUAGUUAAACGAUGUGGGGUAUGUCCAAAAUAUUUUCCUGCCCCUUACUUAAGGGUAAGCCCUAAAGGUCUUCUUCCUAAUUAUCUAUGGCAAAUGGAUGUUACUCAUAGAGCAGAAUUUGGCAAAUUAAGAUAUGUACAUGUGACCAUUGACACUGGUUAAUGCAAACAGUGAGGAAAUAGAGUUCAAAAGCUGUGCUGCUUUUGGCUUUACUAGCUCCUUUAGAAAAAUACUUUAUAUCACCUAAUAGCUGUGCAGUAUUUUGUGAAGAGCUUUAUAGCAGCUAAAUACAGUAAUUUCACCCUCAGCAUGAAGUGAAGGUUUUCAGUAGAACAAACCAAAAGUACUGCUGUAAUAGCAACUUUUGUCUGAAUUGAAGCACUUAGGGGAGCUAUUAUGAAUCUGGGUGAAGGGACAGCCUCUAGUUAAAAACUGUUUACUGCUGACAGUGCAUCUCUGCCAAUUCUGGAACAGCUGAGAGAACUUGGCAACUUUGGGGUGUUGCUUCGUCUGGAGAAUGGUACAGUCCUCUAGCAACAAGUAUCACAACUCUAUAAUGACAACACUUACUAAAUCCCAGUGUUGUAUAGCAAAGCUGACGAUAAACUCUAAACUUUAGAAAUGAUAUACAUACUUUCUGUCUAGUUAAGAGAAUCUUUCUAAUAGAGAUAGUGAUAAUAAUUAAGAGUACGAAGUAGAAAAAGCUGAAAAGAUAUGUGAAUUCGUAGUAAUAAUUCUGUCUUGUUAGAUCUGUGUUAAGAAAUCUUUAGGUGUUUGCUGAGUUAGAUAUAUGCUAAUGAUAGCCCUAUAUAAGUUUGUAAAAUAGAUCUAUAGAGUUUCUUUAAGAAUAUAAGCUUGAAAGAAGUAUCUUAAGACAUGUAGUAAUAAGCUUGUAAGA